rnacentral:lncRNA from 1 species
GAAGACGUGGCUUUGCUAGCUGAAAAUGGAAUUAUUCUCAACUGGCUAGGUGACGAUGCCGCAGUUUCAAAUAUGAUUAAUAAGCUUUGCGAAACAAUCACCGGCACUUAUACGUUUUAUGAUGAUAUCUGCGGAAAGAUGAAUGCCCACUAUAAGAACCGCUGGAACCAUAGAAAGGCAACCUUGAAACUUGUAUAUUUCCCCAAUGUUUGGAGAGGUACGGCAACUGUUGCAGCAGCUAUCCUGCUGAUCCUCACUUUGAUACAGACUAUCACUUCCGUAAAAUCGGUAUUCUAGGAUUUUAUCUCGUUUAGUUUCAUUAUUCCUACGUAUGAUUGAUGUAAUUGUUAUUUUCCUUUGAAGAUUGUUUUUAAACUCUGGGUAUGUGUAUUUCUGAACUAAUAAUGUUGUUGCAAAUUCUUGUUGUUGUAUUGUGUUAGAGAAUAAUAUAGAUCAUAUCUUGGGAUCUCACCUAACAGUUUAAGCUUUUAGGUUGAGAUGGUUCUCUGACAUGGUAUCAGAGCCUUAAUGACCAAGCGGUCACGAGUUCGAAUCUCACCAUUUUCAUUUAUUUGAUAAAAAUUAAGCACAAGGUAAUGUGGGUCUGUGUAAGUUUCAAGUCCAAAUGGCUUUUACUUAAGAGGAUGUGUUAGAAAAUAAUAUAAAUCAUAUCCUGAGAUCUUAUCUGACAGCUUAAACUUAAAUGAAGCUAAAGAGUUAGUGCAUGAUCUCAAUUUCAAUAUCCCCAGCUUACCUAACAACGAAUUUGACAAAAACCUGAAAAUCAAAGAAAUGAACAACGACAGAUAAGAGGCAGGAAGUGAUCACAGGAGGAAGAAGAAGAACCAAAUCUUUAUUGUCUCGCGGCGGGCCUCUAUUCUACAUAUAUCCUCACCUCGUGCCAAUAAAUUUGCAUACUGAUCAUAGAAAGUAGAAAAAGAAAAUAGUCCAAACCUUUCUUCCUCUUCUUGUCUUCAUAUUUCAUCACAUAUUCCAGUAGUUUCACUUGUAACUCAACCAUUUAAUUCUGUUAUAUGAAAUCUUCCUUCGGGCACAAGGCCAUACGAGCAGUGAAGUUAACAAGCAACAUGUUCUUCUCUUUCCUUUCAUGGCUCAUGGCCACAGGAUGCCUCUAUUGGACAUGGCCAAGCUAUUUGAUUCUCGAGGCCCAAAGACUACCAAAGCCACCAACCCUCUUAAUGUGCUUCUUCUCUGCAUAACAGUCCACAGAUACAAAAAAAAAAAAAAAGGUUUUGAAAUACUUGGAACUUGUUAGUUAAUAUGUUUUGUAGUGAAUUGGUUGAUAAUAUAUGACAUUAAUUUUAUUUAUAUAAAUAUAUUUAAUUUAUUAAUAAAAAUUUAUUUAUUUUUAAUAAUUAUUAGUUAUUUUAUUAAUAAAUCUAAUAUUUAAUUAAUGAAUCUAGAGUAAAGAUAAAAAAUUUUGGAUAAAAAUAUUUUGCAAAAGAAAUUAUAAUGUUGUUAUAAUUAUAGGAUUUUUAUUACAUCAAAUAAUUGUUUCUAAAUGUUCUUGGUCAAUACUUUAUUAAAAAUGGAUGUUAAUUAGAGUUGUUGAGAUUCAUACAUAUUAUGUUUUUUUUUUUAUGAAAUAAAGCAAUUAUUCUCAUAAACUGAGAUAUGAGAGUUACAUAGAACUAAUAUGUAGGUGUUUGUCGAAUGACUUGCAUACUGAAAUGACUCACAUGAAAAAUUCAUAUAUAGAUAUCACUUAUGUCCAUGAAAAAGCUCACGUGACAGUUGUGUAAGUGAUCCUUAGAUUUAAGAUCACUGAAUUAUCUUAUAUAAAGAGUGUUAUGUUUUGAUCAUAUUAUAUGUUGUCCUAAUCAAGGGUAACAAAUGGGUAAAUAUUGGGUAUAACAUGAACUAUAUGAAUUCAUCACCUUAGAUGAAUUAUGAAAAAUAUUUCAUCUGUUAUCAAAUAGUAUUAAUUGUAAAUCAUUGCGCAAGAUGAAAUAAAAUUAAAAAAGAGUUUCAAAUCAUAUUCAAAUAAUCAAUAACUAUGGUGUUGAGAACAAACAUGAUUUUAUAAAGUAAACAUGCUCAAUGUUAUAAUGUUUAAAUCAAAACACUGUUGAUAAAGGGAUAAUAAUUUCAUUUAAAAACUAUUAAAUCAAACCACUUAUGACUUUCCUAGUAUUUGGAGAAUCACGACAGGUUGUUAAACAUUAUACUUAAUCUUCAAAUAUAAAUCAAUCAAUUAUUGAAUUGAUAAUAAAUUAAUUUGUUUAAUUUAUUUAAUCCUAUUUUGUUUAGGAUUAUGAUUUAUAUUUGGGCCAACUUAUUAGGGAGCUUAAUGGAUCACAUACAUAAGAAUCAUUAAUCAGAAAUUAAAAUAAGAUGAUUAAUCAAGUGUGACUUGAUUGUAAAUAAGUUUUAGAAAUUAAGGACUAGAGUGUAAUUUAUACAUUGAAUUACAAUUAUAGACCUAGAAAAAUCAAGUAAGGACUUGAUUGAAUAAAAUUUUAAAAUUAGCCUAAAAUAAUAAAUGUGAUAUUAAUUAAAAGAAAAAUUGAUAUUUUAUAGCACUCUAAGGUGUAGCAAUCUCUCCCCUAAAAGGAUUUCGAAGAUUUUUUAUUAGUGGUUCAUAUGAAUUACCAUUAGAGACUGAACACAUGGACGACUUGUGAUUUGCGACAACUUAGCCUUAAAGCAAAUAUUCAAAGCUGAAAAGAACAACUAAUCUUCAAGUAAUUUUCACAAAAACCUAACAAACUCUAAAUUUGUUUAACAGGUUCUUAAGACUUCUAAAAAAAAUUAAAAUUUAUAGUUUUUGUUAUGUGUAUGUGUUUCAAGAAAUCCAACAGUGGUAUUAAAGUCAUCGUUAGACAAUCAGGGUUAUUGCUUGCAUGUUUUAAUUGUUAUUGGAAUUAAUUUAGAAUUAAUUUUAUAUGCAAAAGUUAUUUUUUCUAAAAUUAAUUUUUCACUCUUGAUUUUAUAAAAAAAAAUUAUUUAUUGUUCCGACCAGGCCGGACUUUUUGAAUGUGAUCGAAAUCUUCCAUAAAUUAAAAAAAAAAAGAAAAAAAAAACUUUUCAUGGCUUUCCAUAGGCACUACUGCAAGCAGCACCUCCCCAGCAAAGACAAUCCCUCAUGCUAUUGGCUGGUAACGGCAACCAACGCUGCCGCUAAUAGUGGGCAGAGAGCCAACCACCAGUAGAAGACAAGAAGAAACGAGAGGGGCAGCAUUAUGAUUCUGCCCAUAGUGCCCUUUUAGGGGUUUUUGGGAUAUAAUUAUUACUAUACCCUUGCCACUUAUAUUUAAUACAAAAGGAUUUAGAGGUUUAAUUUAUGAAUUUACCCCUACAAUUUAUUACUUAUUACAAUUUGAUUUUUUGGAUAGAAUUAUGAUUCUUUCUCUUUAUAUAUAAAAUAUUGAUUUUAUAUUUUAAAAUUAAAACCCUAGAUUAAAUUAAUUAUAUAAUUAAUUUUUCUAAUAGGAUUAGGAUUGAAUAAAAAUGUUUCAUUAAAAAAAUUUAUAUUUUAUAAUAUUCUAAUCGGAUUAGGAUUUAAUUAAAUUUUUUAAUUAAAAAAAUAUUUUUUCUAAAAUAAAAUGAGAUUUAUUAAGUCAUAAAAUUUUAUUUAUUUGAUCCUAAAAUAGUUUAGGAUGUUAAUAAGAAUUUUAAUAUGAUUAAAUUUCUUAUUAGAUUUUUUAAAAAUAUAUAUUUUUAAAAGACAAUCUUUAUUAAAUAAAAUUUAUUAUAUUUGGGAAAUUAUCAAAUUGAAUUUAAUUAAAUAUUUCUAAAUGUUAGAAAUAUUAUUUAAAAAAUUACAUAUAAAGCCAAUAAUUAGAAUCAAAGCAUGCAAUAAUAAAUGGACAUUAAAGACCAAUGCGAUUGUGUUUUUAUGAUUGAAUGGUUAUAAUAAUAAAUAGCACUUGUGUCUCCUGUUUUUUCUCUAUUAUUAUUUUGGAUUGUAAAAUUUUUUCUCAUAUAAUUCCCUUUGAAUGUAACUCGAGGUUUCCUAUACAAUUAUGUAAAUGUUAUAUAAUUUAGAAAUAUAAAAAUUUAUAUUAGAAAAUCUAUUUUUUAAUCUAAGAAGAAAGAAUGGCGGAAAAAGAUAAAAUCAUGGUGCUCACAAAAAACUUAUCAAGAUUUGCAACAGUUACCUAGAUUUUGACCAUCUAAUUUCAUUUAAUGCCCAGAGAAAAUUUGUUUAGAUAUAUCCAUAACCAUACAAAUAGAAUGUCAUUCUAGGGGUUUAUGUUUAUAUAUAAUUGCUAUGUAUGAAUUUGUUUUCCAUCACAAACAUUUUUUUAUGUGUUUGUGUAUGGGACACUUCAUCAUGGAUCCCUAACACAACACUUUUAUAUGAGUAAUUUUAUCUCGGAUCCCACCAACAAUAUAUCCAAUAAUAGUAACUAACAUAUAAGGAAAUAACACAUUAGUUCUUUAAUGUUUUUUUUUCCUAGGGGAACCUUAUAAUCUCCUUUUACAUAAUCAUGUCAUAUUUUACAAUUGAAAAGCAUAUAGCAACUAACAACUAGGAAUUGUUGGGAUAUUAUACCCACUAACACAAAUAGAAGCAAAUGACAACAAGAUUUGUUAUAAUUUAAAAUACACUUAAAAACUAAAAACAUUAUAACUACGAUACAUUUAAAUACUUUAUUUUUUAUUGAUCUAAAACUCAUUUCCCAAAAGGUUAUUACAAUUUUAUAUAUAUAUAUAUAUAUAUAUAUAUAUAUAUAUAUAUAUAUAUAUAUAUAUAUAUAUAUAUAUAAACUAGAUAAGGAAAUAAUAUAAAGUGGGAAAAUAAAAAUAAAAAAUAAAUUAACUAAUAAAAAUAUCUAUUUUUUUAAAAAAACCUCCUACAUAAACUUGCUAUAAAUAUUAUAAGUGUUCUCCACACCAUUGUCCACACCAGCUUCACCACCCCCACUCUCUCAGUCACUAUCAUCACCACUUUAGUGCAACUAUCCUAUUUUUAUAUAUUGGUGCUUAUCAUUUGAACAUUUUAUAUAUUUUACGUAAAAGUGACCCAAAAUUCAACCACCCAAAUAAAACUCACGCUCACCAAGUUCCCCGCCAAAGAAGCUGGUUUCCCUAGAUGCCUAGAAAAUCUUGAUUUAGUCACUAAUCUAGAAAGUAGCAGUACACUCUUUAGUGAUAAAUUAGGUAAUUACUAUUGAAAUUAAAAAUAAAUGAUGAGUUAACAUAAUAGUAAAAAGUUUUUGAUAAAAAAACAUAUUUUUAAAUAUUAUAAUUCAAAAUCAUGACAUUAAUUUAAUAAGUUAUAUUUAAUUUAUAUGGUGUUUCUAAGCCACUACAUUAAUUAAAUUCCAGUGCACUUGUGGAAGUACACCCAUUUGCUUUUCACUGGACUUGGAGCUACUUUGGCUAGCUCGUCAAUUUCUCUUUGUGAGCAAGAAUCAAGGGGGGUGGAUUGAGGUAGCUAAUCCAUCAGAGCUGCAUUCUGCAGCCUCCACGGUAGAUGAGCUCGAUCACAAAGUAUAUAUGGGUUAGUAUUGAUUAUCCAGCUCAACAUAAUAAAGGAUAUCCACACUUUUUUAUUUAAGCAUUCAAGAGUUUGUUCUACUAAAAGAUUUUCCUGCUGCAGGAAGCAACAAGGUGGAUCAAAGUUAUUCUCUCUGGAAAGAAUUGGAGAGGAACAAUAGUGUGUUAGAAAAUAAUAUAGAUCAUAUUCUAGGAUUUCAUUUAAUAGUUUAAGCUAUUGGGUUGAGAUAAUUAUUUGACAUGGUAUUAAAGCCUUGAUAACCAAGCAGUUACAAAUUCGAAUAUCACCAUUCAUAUUUAUUUGAUAAAAUUUAAACACAAGAUAAUAUAAACAUGUGCAAGUUUCAAGAGAGAAGAACUUUCAUUUAAAGGGGUAUGUUAAAAAAUAAUAUAAAUCAUAUUUUAGGACCUCAUUUAAUAGUUUAAGCUAUAUAUUGGAUUGAAAUGAUUCUUUAAAAUAGUGGCGGUAAUACAAAUGAUGACAAUUAUGAAAAUACAUUUUAUGAUACGCUUCUGUCUUUAAUUCGUUGGAUGAUCCCGUAUCACAAUUUCUGGAAACUGUCCCCGGAUCUGAAAAUGGAUCAGCGAGGGAUCGGAUCGUGCAGAGAUGUUUCUACCGGGCCUUGUGAUUCAUAUGGUACUCCAACAAAGGUCCAGCGCGCUUGAGACAGAAAAUUUUGGAAAUUGGAAAAACAGACUAAGAAGAACAAUGCUGAGAAGGAGACAAGACCAACAUCCUAAUGGAGGUGAAGAAAAUGGGGUGAAGAAUCACAAUAAGAGAAUACCAGAGCAAAGAACGGAAAGAGAAGACAAAUAAAGGCAAGGUUUAUCUGCCGAAGAUAGAGGAGGCUUUGCUUAUUAUUUAUUUACUAAUUUAUAUUAAGUUAUCAUGUUUUCAAAGAAGAGUAAAAUGUUUAAUUGUUGUUUUUCUAAAGCACGAACAAUUAUAACAAUAUUUUGUCAUGUAAAGAUUAAUUGUUCUCAGUUUGCUUUCGUCUGGAGUUGUAAUUCUUUCUUAAACAGGAUUUCUUCCUGUUUUGGUUGAUUUUGAUCAAUGAAGUUUUUCAUUCAUAAAAAAAAGAAAAAGGAAAGAAGCUUGGCAUAUAGGGCCAGUACUCUCGCUUUGCAAUAGAAAUGAUGAAGAAAAAGCUCAAAGAGCUCUUGCAUAGAGCUGUGAUGCUACUAGUAAUUAACAUGUUUUCAGUGUCUUGAUAUCAUUACCUACAGACAAAACUUGUUAUUGUUAUUAUUUCUAAACAAUUUAUGCAUCAAAUGUUGCAAUAUAUUGUUUUUCCAAGUAAUUUUUGCUAUUAGGUUAUAAACUAGAUUCAUUCAAUAAAUGGCCAAGCAAGCCAGUAAAAGGAGUUAGGCCCUGACCUCAAAGGUUAUGAUAUUCCAACCUCCAAAUCCUUUGCAACCAGUUCACAAAAUAUCCCAGUAAAAAUAGAUCAUCAGAGGGACUGAUAUCAGCUAACAUUUGCUUUGUCUGUACGAAGAGAGAUUUGGCAAAUGGUGGACCCAAGACCCAAGCAAAGAAGACGAUAAAAGGGAUGCCAUGUUUGGAAUCAUUGAGUAAGAAGCAACCCCAGUUUCUUUGGAUGAUUGAACACAUUGUAUUUUCCCACUGCAGAUCAUUGAGGGAAAGUGUAAGUACAACUGAACCUGGUGUGUCAGUCUUUAGCAUCAGUUUGAUUUCCUUUUUGUAUUUGUUCUUGUAUCUAUAGGAUGACUUUCAACUCGUAGAGACUGUCUUGUGAAAAGCAAUUCUUAAAGAAUAUCACAAUAAUAAUUCAAACUAGAAAAAAACAUAAGAUUUAACGUGGUUCAAUAACACUGUUAUAUUCAUAAUAAUAAAGAGUUUUAUUUUUCAUUAUAUUAAAAUAAAAUUAUAUGGUAUGUAUUUAUAAUAGAUUAAAAAUUACCCAAAAAACCCUAGAUAUCUAAAGAGUAUUAAUAAUUUUUUUUAAUAUUUUUUAUUAUAUCACAGAGUCGUUGCCCCCACAACCCCAACCCAUUAAUAAUCCUCUGAAACAAAACAAGAAAUAAAUUUCAAAGAGAUAGAUAUCGUUGUUUCGCUUCGCUCAUACGCUUUGUAAAACACAAACUACAACGGACUGUAUUUCGGGUCAUAUCUAUGAUUGUAGUCCAGUGGAUUUUACGAGUGAUAUGGGGAGACGAUCUGCAAUUCACCCAUCUGUUCUUAAAAUGUCUCAUCCACCAAGAAUACUAUCCUGGAUGGCAAAUGGAAUUGGUAGCGGUCUUGAUGCUCUCUUCCUGUACAGAUUGAAUCACGGCUUGCUGAGCAUCGGCGGACUCUGUACUCCUUUGCUGUAAAGUACAUAAUAUGUGCUCAGAGAAUGAUGAUCUUGCUCCUUGUCUAGACAUUUGCAAUCUCGGAGUUUUUGCAUUCAUUUUACUCUUUCCCGCCCCUUAUCUUGGAGUUUUUGCUCUUUUUGUAAAUUAUUUCCUAGCUCAAAAAGGAUUCUACUUGCUUGAAAAUAAUACUAUUCAAAUCAAUUUAGAACUCAGAACUCCUCAAGUCAGAGACCAAGUUAUUCGAGGUUGAGUUGUUGUCUCCAAGGCUAUUUCUGUCACAUAUAAAGCCUCUUAAAUCUCGACUCUUCUUCUCCUUUUCCUUAUAGGAAACUCUCUUUGUCCAGUUGCCACAAGAAAACUGCCUCUGUUUUCCAACUUAUAGUUUGCUGAAAUUCCUUCUCUCACAAGGACUCCUUGCACAGACCUAGCAGCUGGAAUUACUGCCGCUGCCGAUUCUUGGUUGUUGUUCCUUUGCUGCUGAUUUAUGGUCUACCUGGAUCUCAUUAGUACCAUACGAACAUUUGCUUGGUCUGUUAUCUAUUGAUUAUUUCUUAUGACUUUGAAAUUUAAUUAUUGGUAGAGAAUAAUAUAAAUUAUAUUUUAUGAUCUCUUUUAAUAAUUUAAAUUAUUGGGUUGAGAUGGUUCUUUGAUAAAAUAUUAGAGUUUUGAUAAUCAAGUAGUCACGAGUUUAAAUCUCAUCAUCUCUAUUUAUUUGAUAAAAAUCAUGCACAAGUUAGUAUAAGUUUGUGCAAGUUUCAAGCUCAAAAAGCUUUCAUUUGAGAGAAUAUAUUAGAAAAUAAUAUAAAUUAUAUUUUGAGACCUCAUCUCACAGCUUAAACUUUUGGGUUGAAUUGAUUCAUUCAUAAUUAUAAAGGUUUGUAAUUUUAACAUUUCUUUGUUUCUCUUUCCUCUUUUCAUUCUCUUGAUUUUCUUAAUAGACAUGAGAGAGCCACGCUUCAUACUGAGAUUCCAAUUAACAAAAUUUGAUUUUAGUAUCAAUGAUUUUAUCAUAGAAAAUGGAGUUCAAUGAUGGUGGUUCUAUCUUGUAAACAUGUAAAAUAGAUGGACUUAUAGUUUUUAAAUAGAUUAGAAGAUGUGUUUUAGAGUUAAAGAUUUAUUGAAAUUUUUAUGAUGUUUUUAAAAUAUUUUUAGAUAAAAAUAUAUAUUAAAACUUAGGAUUUUAAGAUACAAAAACCUUGACAAUGAAAAACAUUAUAAUUAACAUUAUAUUACAUGCUUAUAGUAUACUCUUAGACAUAAUUUUCAAAUCUUACCUAAAAAAAGGUCUUGGACAUUGGGUUACUAAGUUAAUGCAUGGGUUAUCAAAUUAAUCCUCAAUUAACUUAAUAUUGAAAGAUAAAAGUGAUAAAAAAAAAUGACACUUAACUAAAAUAAAAAGCCUAAGUGAACUCGAGUCAACCAAGUAAACUCGACUCAACCAAGUAAAUUUGUGAUGCAAGUCAUGCAUGUUAUUAGAUUCAAUAUUUUUUUUAACAGAGAUUAUUUUUCAUUUAAUUACACGACGAUAAAAUGCAUGACAAUUUUUUUGUAUAAAAUGUUUUUUUAAAUAGAAAAACAAUAUGUUAGACACGUGUGGUUGAGAUAUCAUAAGCAGAUCAUUGAUAAAAAAAAAAAAGAUGAAAUUGAUUUUUCUUAGUUUUGAGCUUAACAAAAAAAGAGAUCAUUGAUAACAAAGAAAGAAAUUAUAUUUUUAAAAUCGAGGGACAAAAUAAAUUAUUAAACAAAAAAAUAAUAAUAAUAACUUGAAUGCUACGAAUGAACUAUUAAACCUACAACUUGAUUCAUGAACUCAAUUGGAUUCAAUGAUUUCUUUUAUCGAUUUUUUUUACCCAAACAUAAAACAACUAAACUUUUUUUUAAAAAAAAAAGAGUCGAGGCACAUUGGACCUAAAAAACCAGCCCAAGCAUGUGGGCCUUCAAACCUAGCCCACGCUCCUAGGCCUCGCUCUUUUUUUAAUUUCUUAAUGGGAUGGAUUUUUUGAAAUAUUAUAAUGAAUCCAUGUAAAUAGAUACACAACAUACUAAUAUGAAUAAAAGAUAAUUGGCAAGGCACCUUAUCUCAUAUAAAAAGCUUUAAAAUGUUAAUAUUUUAUCUUUAUCAUAACUAUUUCAUUACAUUACAACUCUUAAGAUCAAUUAGAGUAUUUUUUAUUGACCAUUAUAUAAGGAGGUGAUUCUUUUCUCUCUUUUUUUAUUUAUUUUCAAAAUAUUAUAUUUUUUUUAGGUUUGCUAUAAUGUCGAGUGUGAUAAACGUUUUACAUAAAAAUAAUUUCUUUAUAUAUGAAAAUAUAAAAUAUAUGUCAAUACUAAUAUGUAAAAACAAGAUCUUUAAUUAGGAAAGAGAUUAAAACAUUAAAACAAUUCUUAAAAUACUUAAUGUGUUAAUUUCGUUUUUGUAAAAGCUUAUUCAUCAGAAAAUUAAUGCAUUCUGUAAAUAUGUGAGUAGUGUCAAAAUGCCAGAUCACUCAAGAAAACACGUUCUCCUCCCACUAGUAAAUGAAAUAAUGCCAUGGGUCUGUUAGGACGUGGACUUAGGUGAUCUGAAUGUUUUACACAGUCGUUAUUAAUUUGAGGUUAUGGGUUGUUAAUUAUUAAGUAAUUUCAGUAAUUAUUCUGUUAUUUAAGUUAUGAGAUUGAAUAAAAAAAAUAUGCAGAAUUGUAUCCAUAUACAGAGUACCAAUUAGCCCCUCAAAGUGACUAUUUAUUUAUUCUCUACUAAUUAGUAUAUCACAAGUAAAAUUAAUAACAACCGCCUAAAACUGUACUUGAAGUCGUGGCCUAGCGGUUGUGGUAGGGACUUGUUCCCUUUCUCUGCAUCCGGGUUCGAUCUUUUCUGUGCAUGCAUGUCAUCUCCGCGGUGCAUUACUUGCCUACUGGGCUUGCAGGAUGUUUAAUAAAUCUAGGGAUUAGUCGUGGUGCGCGUAAGCUGACCCGGAUACCCGGGUUAUAAAAAAAAAAAAUAAAUAAAUAACAACUGCCUAAAACAUUCUAACAUAACAACCCAUGACAAAUAAUCUAGAGGUCGCGCAGCCAUUCGGAUAGAUGAGGCAACUGACUUAAGAGGGAGGGAAAAAAAAAGUCAAGUGGACGAAGAAAAGUCAACUACGAACAUAGAUGCAUUCAUUCAAAUUGAUACCAGUUAUAUAAAUAAUAAAUAAAAACAUAUAAUUUUUUUUAACAAUGAUUAAAGUUAUAAUUUUCUAUAUCAAUUUGUUAGUUUGUCACAAACAAUAGGAAAACCUGUUGCAAUAAUUAAAAAAAAAAACAGGAACAAAAGUUUUUUUUAAAAUAGAAUUGUUCAUUGACUAAGAAUUUGUAAGACAUGACUUAUGAUAUCUGACUUUUGAUUUUAAAAAAUAAUUCAUAUGUUAUUUUUCAUUAAUAAUUUUUUCACAAUAAUAAGUAAAAAGAAAUUUAAGUUAGAAAUAUGUGAUUCCAAUCAUCAAAACAAAUAUAGUAUAAAUAGAAUCCAUCUAGCAAGUUAAAAAUUCUAACUUUUGAUUAAAUAAAUUUUUUUUUCUCAAUUUUAUAACAAAUCUUUAAGUUAUUUUAUUUUUAUUUAAGGGUAUUAAAUCAAAAUAGCACAAAAUAUUUUGAUUUAUAAAAAUACCUUUAAUUAAGGUGUACUAAUCGUUACAUGUAUUAAAAAUACUUUAAUGAUAACUAUAAUAUUUAUUGUCUUAUCUUAGGAAAUUCUACAUGAUAAAAAUAAAAUAAAAAAUCUUAAUUUCACACUAACAUAGUUGCAUAUAUGAAUUCUUGAAUAAAAAUGAAAAUAAAUGCUGUAAAUAAAUAAAUGUACUAGUGGAUCCUUUUUUUUAAAGAGAAAAAAAAAAACAAGUAGAUGGAAAAAGUCAACUAAUUAAUAUGAACAUAUGGAGGCACAUUACACAUCAAGAUUGGUACAAGUUACAUGAAUUGAAAAAUAAAAAUAACAUAUAAAAAUUAUACCAAACAGAAUGGAAUAUAUAUGCCUGUAUUGUUAUGAUUUGUUAAUCACCCGUCCUUGCUUAUAUAUAUUGGGCUCAACGAUGCAGGUUGACAAGAGCAAGAGACUUCAAGAAAGAGAGAGAGGCUGCAAUAUACAGGAAAGGGGCUCGCUGCCUGGGACUAUAUACACAGAGAUACGGCCGGCUGAUCUCCCUCAGGUCAGCACUAACUUGUUUUGUUUCUUUGAAAUGUUUACUUACCUUCUUUGGGAUUUGGCUCAUUAUAAGUAAAGGAAAAUAAAUAAAUUGAAUAACAUAACUUCUAAGUUAAUCAGAAGGAUUUCAUGCAUAGUUUUAACCUAUGUUCCUUCUUGAUCAUGACUUAAUUAUUCGUGGAGAAGGAGAAAAUACGGUAUUUUAAAAAAAAUGGAAAUUAAAUACUAUGCAUAUAAACAAAUUAUAUUAAAUUUUCACAUAUAUUGAUGUGCUAAGCAAUAACCACUGAAGCGAUUGAGUGUACAGACGUUCUAAGAAUAUUAAUUGAAUGAUCAGAAAUAAAAAGAGUAGUCAGAACAAUUCGUAUGAUUUUCUUCUAGAAUUGCUCUAAAAUUUAGGUAUUUUUUUUCUAAUUAGCAUGGUUUUUUUUAAAAGAAAUUAAUUGAAAAAAUAACAGUUUGAAAAAAAAAAUAGCGAAUUCACAUAAUUUAUACAAGUUGUAAUUAGAAAAUACGACAUUCAACUAACUUACUAUAAAAAAACGCAGCAUUUCAAAAAUAUUAUCAAAAUGAGCUGCACUAAUUUCUAUAAGAAGAAAGAGAAAAGAAAAAAAAAGACUCCAAAAACACAUUGAAGCUCCUAUUACAAUGUCACCAGUGCCAUCAAAAAGCUCUCGACGAGAAGUAUACAAUGACAUCAAGAAAAAUCAUAAACAGUGAUUAGAAUGAGUUGCACUUGUAGUCCAAAGAUAUUAGGUAACUCACUUGCUUUUGAUGGCAAGUGUGAUCCAUUCCAGUCACCAUUGGUGAUCUUCAUUAGUAUCAUUGGAUUCGUCUCGUCAAGAGUUUUUUAUGGUACUCGUGAUGUCAUAAUCGAAGCUUCAAUGUGCCUUCAAGAUUUCUUUCUUUGUUUUUUUCUCUCUUUUCUUUCUCCUCUCUCUUCACAAAUUAUAAUGAGGAGAGAGGAGGGUAGGGAGAGAAGUCAAGAAAGAAAGAAAUAGACUCUCUAGAGGUACAUUGAAGCUCCGAUUAUGACACAUUUGGUAUUAUCAUAAAGAUUUUAACAAGACGAAUCCAACGAUACCAAGAAUAUCACCAACAAUGAUCAGAGUGAGUCACACUUGCCGCUAAAGGCAAGUGAGUCAUCAGUCAUCUUUAGGUGCCAAGUGUGGUCUACUCAGGAUAUCAUUGAUGACAUUUUUUGGUGUAGUUGGAUUUGUCGCAUCAAAAUUUUUCUAAUAGUACUAGUAGUGUCGUAAUCAAAGUUUUAAUAUGUCUCACAAGUCUCUUUGUUUCUUUCUUUUAUUCUCUCUCCUCAUUAUAAUUUGUGCAACUCAUUAAUUUCAUGUUUUUUUAUAAAAAAAAUCUCACGUUUUUAAAUAGCGACAAGGUUGAAUGUUGCAGUUUCUAAUCAUGAUAUUUAUAAAUUGUGUUAUUUCACCAGUUUUUUUUUCAAACUUUAUUAUUUUGCCUUUUUUUUAAAUAGUGCUAAUUUAAAAAAAAAAUACUAAAACCUUACGUUGGAAAAUAUAGCCAAGUAGUUGUAUGGAAAAAAAGAGUGACAUAGAUAAAAACAAUAUAAAAAAGACAAUAGUCAUAAUCAACACAUAAUUCUUUUGAUUAUCAUAUAAAAAUUCUAAUUAGAAAUUUUAUUACCGGGUAUUUUUCUUCAAGUAGUUCGUCUCUUUAAAAGAUUUAAAACUCUUUAUUUUUUUUAAAUCAUCCUAAACAAACUAGGAAAUCCAAAAUCAAAGUCAAAAUUAAUAAAAAUAUUAAACAAAGUAGGAAAUCUAAAAAUAAAAAAAAAUUAACAAAACUAGCCUUAUGUGUCUAAUUUGUGGUCUUUUUUACCUUACCUAAUUACAACUCGAUCUCCUAUUGAACUAAGUUCUUAGAAUUUCAUGAUAUUCCAAUUAUUUGCAACCGAAUAUAAUGUUGCCGCAAAAUCAUAAAUAUAACGGGAAGAAAAUAAUUUUAAAAUAUUUUAAAUUCAUAAUCGAUUUCCAACUUCAUAUGUCAAUUACAUUCUCCCAUUCAAAAGGUAGAAAAUGAAAAAAUAAAAUGUUUUUUUUUUUAAAAUGAUGCGUUUUUAGGAGUACAAAAUGGAAAAGUUUGGGAAGUGUGCCAUUUUGUUCUUCUUUUAAAACCAUUAUUAAUUCAUCUCCUCUCUCUUUCUUUAUAAAAAAAACUAAAAUUUUUUGUUUUACUAUUUUUAUACUAUUCAUUAAAAUAAUAUUUUGUUUUCUUUCUUUGUUUAUUUUUUAUAAAAAAAAAUCUAUAUUUUUUUUAAUAUAUCCUUCAAUAUUAGGUUUAUUGGAUAUUAGACUAUAUAAUUGUUUUCAAUUUACUUUUGAUAAGGUUAAUUAUCCAAGUUUUAUGAUCUAGACUAUGGGUUUGACUAGUUGAUUCGGUUGAGUCGAGUUUUUGUUUUUUUUUCUUAAUAUUUUUUUUUCAAAUCCAUCCUUCAACUUUGGAUUAAUUGGAAAUUAAGUUUCGUGAUUUGUUUUGAUUUAUUUAUUAUAAGAUUAUUCUUAUCUCAUAGCUUAGGUCACAGGUUUGGUUGAUUAGCCCAGGUUUACUUGAGUUAUUUUUUAUAUCUUUUUUUAACAGAUCUUAUUUCAAUUUUAUCUUUCAACACUAGGUUGAUUGAGAAUUAAACUUGAUAAUUUAUUUCAAUUUGCUUUCUAUUGAUUUAUCUUGGUUUUAUGAUUUAGGUCGCAAGUUUGAUAUGAUAACUCCGUUGCCUAAAGUCAAGUUUUUCUAAUCCUUUUUUAAAUUGAUUUUUUUUUAAUUUUAUUAUUCAAUACUGAGUUUAUUAGAAAUUGAGCUUCAUUAUUUGUAUUUAUUUACUUUCAAUAGAGUUAUUAUGGUCUCAUAACAUGGCAUGUGGACUAAUAGGUUAACUCAGGUUGAUCCGAAUAGAUUUAAUAGGUUUUCAUCUCAGUAUUUAUAAAAAAAUUCUCCUCUUGAAUAUUUAUUAUGAGUCAAAUUAUAUUUUUAAUGAUUAUUUGGGUUGCCUUUAGACCAUCCAAGUUGAACAAGUCAUAUCAGAUUAAUCUUAACAUGACUUAAUUUGUUUUUUUUUUACCCGCAGCGUAGCGCGGGCUAAAAAUCUAGUUACACCUAAUAUUGGUCCAUCAAAAUUCAUGUUUUUAAAUUAUGUUAAUUAUAAUUUUAAUUUAAAAUUUAUCAAAUCCCAUUACAUAAAUUUUACAUACUUACACCUAUCAUUAGAAUUCUUAAAUUUACACACGACUUUAUACUGCUAAUUUGUUCUGAUAAAUAAAUUAAUAGCCUUCUUGUAAUGCAUCUAGAAGAUGAAAACUAAUAGAUUUAGCUGAAUCAUUAUGUUCCUUCUUGAUCAUGACAAUUCAUCGAGAAGGAAAAAUGGCAGGACUAAAAAAUUUGAAAAUUAAAUAUUUUGUAUACUAACAAAUUAUAUAAAAAAUUUCAUAUAAAUUGAUGUGUUAAGUGAUAACUACUGAAGCGAUAUAUUGAGUGUACAUGCGUUCCAAAAAUAUUAAAUGAUUGAUUAAGAGAAAUUACAAUAGCAUAUAGCAUUGCUCUAAAAAAUUUACAUGGACAAUUAUAGUCCUUUAGGUAAAAUUUCGUAUGGAAAUAAAAAUGUCUUAAUUUUGUGAAAUAAGAUAGAAAUUACAAUAUUAGUUAGGUAAAAUAUAUCUUAAAAUUGCCUUGUUAUUACUCUCUCUCUCUCUCUCUCUCUCUCUCUCUCUCUCUCUACACACACACACACACACACACACACACACACACCCCUUCCAUUCAUUCUUGGUUUGUUUCACCGAACGUGCAGAUAUAGAAAGUACCUUAGGGAAGGAGUUCCAAACGAAGGAAAAGUACCUUAGGUGUUUCUUACAUCAAACGCAACAUGGAGAUGACUAGAGAUAUUUUGGCACAGCUGCGAAUUAAGAUAGGAUCGUUGACCUCUCAACAGGACGGGGAUGAGUGUUGUAUCUACAGGGUGCCCAAUUCGUUUCGAAAGGUCAGACCGGAAGCCUACACUCCACAACUGAUUUCAAUAGGUCCUCUUCACCGUGGCGAUGAAAGACUAAAGGACAUGGAACAGCAAAAAUUGAGAUAUUUCAAAGAGUUUGCUGAACGGGAUGGGAAGGGUAUGGAGGAAAUCCAGUAUCUUGUGAUGAGCAUUCAGGAGAAAGAAGAGAGGAUCCGAGCCAGUUAUUCAGAGAACUUCAGCGAAAUUACAAGCAGUGAUUUCAUAGAGAUGAUCCUGUUGGAUGCAGUCUUCAUCAUUGAGUUUUUGAAGGCUUCAAAUGAUGAUGAAUGUUGCUACCCAAAGUUUUCGGAAACAAACCACGACAAAAACAGCCAUCAAUACCGCGCGGGAAUGUUGGACAAUGGACAUUCUAAAAGUAUUAAGCCCUGGAUGAUAUUUGACAUACGAGAAGACUUGAUGCUACUUGAAAACCAACUACCUUUCUUCAUUAUUAAGGAAAUAUAUGACGAGGCCUGUCGCAAAGAACCAAUAGGCAUUCCUUUUCUUGAUCUUGCUACCGUUUAUUUUGGAAAGUACACGUUUUCACAAGGGGUGCAAAACACCGACCCGGAUGUAGAGGGAAGCAGGCAUUUCACUGAUUUACUAAGGAAUUUUAUGUUGAAGGGAUCCAUUGAACGAGGUUAUAGUUUUAAUCCUAUCAAGCUGAAAUAUAAUGCCGUCAUGCUUAGCGAGGCAGGGGUGAAGUUUCAGGUAACCGAAGACAAAUGUUUGGUCAACAUAAAAUUUGAGGAAGGAGUGUUGAAAAUACCACGCUUGGAAGUUGAUUACUGCUUCGAACGUUUUGUACGAAAUAUCAUGGCCUUGGAGCUGUGCUUCAAACCGUUUAAAGCUUACAUAUGCAAUUACAUUAUGUUUAUGGACCUUCUUAUCGACAGUGCAGAAGACGUGGAUUUGCUAGCUGAAAAUGGAAUUAUUCUCAACUGGUUAGGUGACGAUGCCGCACUUUCAAAUAUGAUUAACAAGCUUUGCGAAACAAUCACGGACACUUAUACGUGCUAUGAUGAUAUCUGCAGAAAGAUGAAUGCCCACUAUGAGAACCGCUGGAACCAUAGAAAGGCAACCUUGAAACUUGUAUAUUUCCCCAAUGUUUGGAGAGGUACGGCAACUGUUGCUGCAGCUAUCCUGCUGAUCCUCACUUUGAUACAGGCUAUAAGUUCCGCAAAAUCAUUAAUGCCCACUAUGAGAACCGCUGGAACCAUAGAAAGGCAACCUUGAAACUUGUAUAUUUCCCCAAUGUUUGGAGAGGUACGGCAACUGUUGCUGCAGCUAUCCUGCUGAUCCUCACUUUCAUACAGGCUAUAAGUUCCGCAAAAUCAUUAU